UCUAGGUGGGGAUAAAACAAUUUCUUGGUGAAUAUUUUGUGAUUGCCUACCUCAGUGGUUUAGUAGAAGCACUACCGUAGGCAUAAGUGUAUGUAUUCAUGCUUUAUUUUUAUUUGACGAAAUACUAGCCCAAGGCGAAAAGUACGAUUUUUAAGUUUACUGAACUAUCAUCGGUGUGCAUAUUUUUUUUAUAUACAAAGGAUGAGACAAAAGUAUUUAUUAGAGAAAACCGAACUGCAAAGUGUCCUACCUAA
rnacentral:lncRNA from 1 species